GUUACUUUUUUGAGAUAGUAGAAGACAAGAUAAAUAGUUGGAAAAGAAUAUACAUUAGACAUUCUAAUUUCUAGCAAUAAAAAAAGGUCUUGACUUUUAAAUUUAAUGUUUCAGUUCCUUUUUAAAACAUUUGAGUAAUUACAUGUUGACUUUUGAGAAUUUGGGCAUUAUAUUAAGGACUUAUUUAACAAAUUUCGUUUUAGUUUGAAGAAGUUUUCUGGGCUUACGCCCCAACACGCCCCAACAAAAAAAAAAACUCGCUCCAAACGCCCGGGCGUUCGCCCCAAACGCCCGGGCGUACGCCCCAAAUUGCUGGGCGUACGCCUUUGGAGACUUUCGCCCCGACCCAUCGCCCCAGGACAUUUUUGGUACGCCCCGCCUCAGGGCUCGCCCCGAGGCUCGCCCCAAAAACGCCUUUUAAAACACUGCUUUAAACUACAACCAUAUUGGCACAAUUGGCCUCUUUUUUUUUUUCAACCCCUUAAAUCUGCGAAAUUGGGCUAGGCCCAAUCCAUUUUAAAACCCCCAUACAAGCUACCCAUAUGAAACCCCCAUUUGUUAUUUUAUUUGACAAGGGUUUCUAAUGAAAACCUUAGCCGCCUGUUUUGUCAUCUUCAUGCCAAGAACGACAAAGAUGCAAUGCCUAUGAUACGUUUCAGUCUGGGUUGGUCCAUUGCUCUUUCCCCUUGCAACCUCUCUCCACCACGUCACCACCAAGAAGAGGAAGGGCUUCAAUUCCAAUUUCGACAAAGGCUGCGCUUGAAAAAGGUAAUUUUUCUUCCUUUUAGUUAUUUUGGUUAUUUAUUAUCUGUGUGUGUUUAUUUGGUUUAUUUGUUGUUUGAUUAGUUUAGUAUGUCCUUGUUUUGUUUGGUUUGGCAUUAAUUAGUUUAGUUUAGCAUUAAUUGUUUAGAUAUUUCAUUUAAAUAGUCAUAUAUGUUAGGUUAGUUUAGUUAUUUACUUGUUAGAUAUGCUAGUUUAGUUUAAGUCUAUGUUUAGUUGUUGUUUUGUUAAGAAUGUGUUGGAUCAGUCAGUUAGUCAUUAGCAUGUUUAUAGGUUUCUUUAGUUUGAGUACAGUUUAACCAUGUGCUUAUUAGAUACUGGUUUGUUUAUUAGCUUAUUUGGGUGUUGUUCAUGUUUGGUUCUUCUUAAUCAUGUAUAUUAGUAUUCUCAUGUGUUCAGUUAUGCUUAAACCUCUAUUUACUCACAUGCCCACUAGUUCAAACAUAAGCAUACCUAUGUGUUUAACUAUUGUUAGUGUAUGUCUGUUAGAAUAAUCACUUAGCUGUGGUUUUCAUAUGCUUAGUUACAUGUUUGUUAGGAUGCACAAUGGUAUAUUUGCUUGCUCAAUUCCUGUUCAAUUUUGUUAGGCAAGUUUAGACAUUGGCUUGUUUGUAUGUAUUUGUGUUCAAAUUUCUAUUCAUUCACAGACUUGUUGAGUUGGUUUGGUUAUCAGUAAAUGCUAUGUGCUUAGUGAAUGUGACCUUAUCCAUUGGCUUCAUCUAUGUGGUCUAAGUGUUAGCAAGCAUUGUGUCCCUAUCUAGCUAUCCUCUACUAGGUUUGGUUGUGUGAUUUAAAUGCUAGUCCUGCCCAGUUCAAGUCGAACCUUACAUAUGUCUAUAUGUUGUUUAGUCCCAAUCAGUAAUUUAACCAUCUGAACCAUGAAUUAUUUGCAGUUUGGUCUGAAUUAGUAUGCAUGCUUACCAUGAGUCUGCUAUGAUACUUCAAUGUCGGUUCAGUCUAAAAAGUGGCAGGUGUGUUAGUCUGUGCAUGAUAGAAAGUAAGCCAUACUAGAUGGAUGACAAGUAUAACUUAAAUGAUUGUUUCUGAGUUGAACAUAUCUAAUCUAAACGUGCUAAGUGUAAAUCUGUUCAAUCUAUGAUACAAAAGGUUGUAGCUCUUAUUGAAUUUUUAUUAAGUUGCAAGAACAUGCUUAUGUGUGUCGCUCCCUUGCUUGAUUUCAUGUUGUUACUGACUCUUCCCUUAAAAUCUAAGAGUGUCAAAAUAUAGAAUAAGGAAACUUGAGUUAAUAUUAAAGUUUACUACAAAGACGAUGUCGUUUGAUUGUAAGAACUUAAGGAGUGACUAUCCGAGGGCUAGGGAGGGUUUAAGAAACGCUUUGAAGAGAAACUUGUAUAUCCUUUCCUUCUGUGUAUGGGAUGCCCUAAUCUAGUCUUUUAGUAGUUUAUUGGAGGUCUGGUCUUGUAUAAAAGACAUUUGAAUGCCUCUUUGUGAGUUUGUAAAUGACCAAAACAACAUAGAAUUGCUGGGAAAAGGCUACAUCAAAUUGAACAAUCUCUUAUAUGCUUGUUUACUACUCUUGUAUCCAUAUGCAUGGUCUGAGAUUUUUUAUCUUUCCUAUAAUUGUUAUGGCAUGUAAAAGUGUAUUGGCAAGCAAAUCCUAGGUUUACGAAGUACAUGUUUUCCCUUUUGCAUGGCUAAGCUCUGGACUAUGCAACUGAACCUUGAGUCUGUGAAUACUUACUAAAGUCUAGUCAAUGUAUUUGUGGAAAUGCUUUCAUCCUCAGUUGAUUAUUCCUUUCCCUAUACCUUGACAUACUGUAAGAAUGAUCAGCAUGCAUAUUUUGACCUAAUAUAUAGGUGUCAUCCCAUGUCUUAUUUUUCCAUGUUAGCAUACUAACUGAGAUGUACAUGUUCUUAACUGUAUAUUUAUUGGUUGAGGUGAACUAUGUGUUGUAAUCAUGCUAUGAUAGGACUUUUACCAAAUUUCUAGCUAUAAUGGGAAUGAUCUAUUGCUUUGCCUUGCAUAUUUCCCCAGAUAUUAUUCUUUUCAUAUAUGAACAAGUCUGAUAUAUAUGUUGAGUAUAUGGCUGUAUAUGUGUGUAUAUCCUACUAAUGUGAACUGAUGUUCCUCUUCUUCUACCCCCUUUCUUUGCUCUGUGUUACUGCCAGAGGGUAGACAUAAGAUACAAGAUAUACAUAGGCCCAUGUAUACCUUGGUAUAUUUUGGAUUGUAUAUCGUGUAUAUUGAUGGUAUAUCAUGAAGGUUGUUUAACCUAAAUGCCUUUCUUAAUUAAUUAUUUGGGACUGCUCGUCAUACUUUGUCCCCAUGAGAACGGAUAUAGGCCUGAACUUCUUUGCUAUACUUGUUACCUUGGAUUUGGGCCUUUAUGUACCUGUUAACUAUUUGAGCUUUCUUGUGUUGUAAUUUUGCUUAUUUGCUGAAUCCAUUUGGUAUCUGUUUGGCUUGCUUUGUCAAAUAUACGAUUCAGAUAUAUAUAUAUAUAUAUAUAUAUAUAUAUAUAUAUGUAACUGUUAUGUGUUUAAAUGAUAUUUAAUACUGAGAAUACUUGUAUAAAUAGUGUGCUAAGAAUAGAUGCUUUCUAACCACUACUCUUUUUCCCCUCUCCUUUGCAUGAAAACUGUGUGACGCGGGCCUAAUUGGGCCAACACUGCAUGACCAGCUGCUUCAUGUUAGGCUGAAGGCCCAACAAUGCAUUAGAUCGAGUCAAACCCGCAUUGAAGGCCCAACCAUGGGUGAAAAUGGUUAACUAGUGGGCUUGGUAGGUCCACCAACCUUUCAUGUCUUUUAUUUUUCGUGCAUGUACUUUAUAAACGUUGUUGUAAUGAACGCUUGUAAAAUAUUGAAACCCAUUUGGUUAAAA